GUGGAUAGCAUAAUAAACUAUAAUAUUUUAGUUAAAUCAUAUCUUUCAAUCUUAUAUGGUCAUAUCUAAAUAAUACUAUCUUUGUGGAUAGUAUAAUAAGGUAGAACCAUCAAAAUAUGUCAUAAGCAUCACUAAGUCAACAUCAUAUCAAUUCCUGUAGCAAGUCUUGUGCAUAGCAUAACAAACUCACUACAGUUUUUGACAUACUCUAUUGACUUAGUAUGAGUUAAAUACUAUUAGCUUCAUUAUGUAUCAAAAUAGUAUUACAUCAAUC
rnacentral:lncRNA from 1 species